rnacentral:rRNA from 1 species
GAUGAACGCUGGCGGCGUGCCUAAUACAUGCAAGUCGAGCGAACAGAUGAGGAGCUUGCUCCUCUGACGUUAGCGGCGGACGGGUGAGUAACACGUGGAUAACCUACCUAUAAGACUGGGAUAACUUCGGGAAACCGGAGCUAAUACCGGAUAAUAUAUUGAACCGCAUGGUUCAAUAGUGAAAGACGGUUUUGCUGUCACUUAUAGAUGGAUCCGCGCCGCAUUAGCUAUUUGGUAAGGUAACGGCUUACCAAGGCAACGAUGCGUAGCCGACCUGAGAGGGUGAUAGGCAACACUGGAACUGAGACACGGUCCAGACUCCUACGGGAGGCAGCAGUAGGGAAUCUUCCGCAAUGGGCGAAAGCCUGAAGGAGCAACGCCGCGUGAGUGAUGAAGGUCUUCGGAUCGUAAAACUCUGUUAUUAGGGAAGAACAAAUGUGUAAGUAACUAUGCACGUCUUGACGGUACCUAAUCAGAAAGCCACGGAUAACUACGUG